AACGCACAUUGCGCUCUCUGGUAUUCCGGAGAGCAUGCCCGUUUCAGAAUCAGCAAAUCAUCCUCAAUCCUCCCCAGGCGUUUGUUCGCUCGGGGACGGUUGGACUUUGGACGUGUCGUUUCUCCUUCCAGGCAACUGGGAAAGCGAAACUCGUCUCAAAUUGAUGGGAAAUGCUGGGGUCACCGCUCAACGGACCUUGCAAAGCAGCAACAGUGAUCGUCAUUGAUUUUGUUACUCUCUUUGCACUCGGGCCGCAGGUACCUCGUCUUACAAGGCCUUUCCGAAUCGCCUUUUGGCAGCCUUGCUGCCGGGCAACAAUCAAAAACUUGGUCUGAAAUCGGGCAAGAAAACCCGCUGAACUUAA
rnacentral:misc_RNA from 1 species